rnacentral:lncRNA from 1 species
UGAGUAUGAAAUCCAAGGAUGAUGAAUGCUACAAAUUUCAAAUUUAAGCGUGUCAAUGAAAUGCAAAUUCGUAAUUAAUUGUUACAGUUGACAAUCUUUUUAUCGAAGCCAUUUCCCAUAUCUUCUCAUCGUUCUGGAAAAAUCUAGAGAUGUCAUCUCACCUAAAGAAUUCCCCUAGAAAACUUAUCCUUACAAGCUUCUUAAAGAAAUCUCAUCAUCAGGCUCAUCGAUCGCCUACAAAAAACAUAUAUUACCAGCAAGAUGUAAAUUCUUAACUAUUCAUUACAAUCGACAACCUUUUAUUGAAAGUGUUUCUGAAAUCCUCCUAUCAUUCUGGUAAAAUUUGGGUACACUUUCUCACCUAAAGAGUUUCUCAAGAAACUUAUCUAUCAAGUUUCUCAAGAAAGUCCCAUCAUCGAGAUUGACAAUUGUAAACAAAAUAUGUGUCACAUGGUAGGAUGCAAAUUUCAAAUUAUUAAAUACGUAUUAGAGUCUUUUGUUGAAAACAUCUCCCGUAUCAUUCUGGUAAAAUUCGGGUACACUUUCUCACCUAGAGAGUUUCUUAAGAAACUUAUCCUUUCAAGUUUCUCAAGAAAGUCCCCAUCAUCAAGAUUGACAAUUGUAAACAAAAUAUGUGUCACAUGGUAGGAUGAAAAUUUCAAAUUAUUGAAUACCUAUUAGAGUCUUUUGUUGAAAACGUCUCCCGAAUCUUCCCAUCUUCCUAGUAAAAUCUGAGAUCGAAUUCUCACCUAGAGAAUUACUCAAGAAAGUUUAUCCUUACAAACUUCAUGGGAAGGCCUCAUCAUUGAAACCUUAAUUCAUCAUUAUUCAUCAUAAUUCCUCAAAUAAACAUUAAGAUCAGCAACCAAUAUUCUCCUAGAAAAUUCGGCCAAUAAUGGUAAUGGAGGAAAAUGAAUUAUUUUCUUGUUGUUUUGUUCCUAAAUAUGCUAAACUAACUAAAAACACUAACAUAACUUAAAAUCAAAUUAAUCUAACAACUUUCUCUCUCCUAACCUAUUUUGAUCAGCCAUCAAUUCAUCAUGAAAACAUGUAAUUUAAGCAUGGAAAAUAAGGAGAAAUGAUUAAGGAAAAUAGAUUUCAAGCUUAAGUUGAAAAAUCCUACCUUUUUCAUUUGUUUUCCUUGAUUUUCCACACUUUUUCUCUUGAAAUUCCUCACCUAGGGUUUGUUCUUCCUCUCUUUCUCUCU